UACGUAGGGGGCAAGCGUUGUCCGGAUUUUAUUGGGCGUAAAGAGCGUGUAGGCGGCCAGGUAGGUCCGUUGUGAAAACUGGAGGCUUAACCUCCAGCUGUCGGAUGGAAACCAUCUGGCUAGAGUCCGGAAGAGGAGAGUGGAAUUCCUGGUGUAGCGGUGAAAUGCGCAGAUAUCAGGAAGAACACCCGUGGCGAAGGCGGCUCUCUGGGACGGUACUGACGCUGAGA
rnacentral:rRNA from 1 species